rnacentral:tRNA from 1 species
GUUUAUAUAGUUUAACAAAAACAAUGGUCUUGUAAACCAUAUAUAGAUAAGUAUCUUUUAAACU